ensembl:lncRNA
UACAUGUACAAGACAUAAAGCCCAUCAUAGGAGCUGCAUGUAAAACUAGCAUUAGCCUCCAUGCUACCUGGUAGCCAAAGUGAAAAGGGAAAAUUGGGUAGUCUGUAUGCACUCUUUAGGGCUUCCCAGGUGGCACAGUGGUAAAGAAUCCACCUGCCAAUGCAGCUGAUGCAGAAGACGUGGGUUUGAUCCCUGGGUCGGGAAGAUCCCCUGGAGAAGGGCAUGGCAACCGGCUCUAGUACUCUUGCCUGGAAAAUUUCACGGACAGAGGAGCCUGGUGGGCUACAGUCCAUGGGGUCACGAAAAGUUGGACACGACUGAGCAUGCACAUGCAUGCAAGGCCUCUUUCAGCACUCUGUGAGAUGAAGUGAUUUGCCCCGGGUCACAUAGCCUAGUUCCACAGCCCGUGUCUUAAUCGCCACUUCAGAGGAGCAGGAUCCAAUUAAAUGCGUUUCUGAACCCUGGGAGCGGGCUACUCAUGUUCCCCCACCUGGUGGAGGGAGGCGCCAGGGUCUUGGGGACCACAACCCACUCUUUGGGUCCUCCUCUGGCUCCAGACUCCUGGUCCCACCACUAGGGAGAGACUGUGAGCAUCCACCCCAUUCCCAGAAGAGGAGAACUGAGGCCGAGGAGAGGCUGUUCCACAGGCUGCCUGCAGGAGAGGACGACGGAGGACUCCCCGCUUCACCGGGAGUCGUGAGGAGUACGUGAAAUAACUCAUGGAAAGCACUCAGGGCCUGGUGCUGGCGACACCUCCGAGAGGAUUUCACACCCUCCUCUACAUGAGGAGCCCCCUAGCAAGGUCGUUAAUGAGUCUGCUAAGUGGGCACACCUCGCCUGACACCUUCCUGCUGGGAACCCCGCCCUCACGCCCCGCAUACCCUGUGCCACCACGGUCCUAUUGCGCCUGCCUCUGCAGCCUGUACUGGGGGGCUCCCGACUCCAGGAGUGGGGGCUGUAUGGGCUAUGGAGGAUCCGCAGAGGGGGGCCACCUCCCCAGGCAGCACGGCCAUCUAGGGCACAGCCCUGCGCUCGGCUAUCAAGUUUCACGUCAACCAUUCCCUGGGCAUCGCAGAAGCGGGCAGGGAUCGAGUGACUGAGUAACACAAGCUCUCUCCCAGGGGACGAGGUCUGCAGAGUCCCCCUGUACCACAGGAGCAUCGCUGGAGGUGGCAGGUGCUGCUUUCAUGGGCCCCGGGGCCUCGGCCCAGGCCCAGCCCCUCUGCCCUCCUCUCCUGUGCCCAGCGAGUGGAUGGCUGCGCUCUCUGAAGUGGGUUUCUCAGGCACCCCCAGAUGAGGGGAGGGGGUCACGGCAGGCUGGGGCUUGCACGCUAUGCUGGUCAGAGUGGCUCUUAGCUUUUUUACCCACUGGGGCUCCUUAUGAC